UGGGGAAUUUUGCACAAUGGGGGCAACCCUGAUGCAGCGACGCCGCGUGAUUUAGAAGGCCUUCGGGUUGUAAAAAUCUUUUGUAUGGGAAGAAAAUGACAGUACCAUACGAAUAAGGACCGGCUAAUUACGUGCCAGCAGCCGCGGUAAUACGUAAGGUCCGAGCGUUGUCCGGAAUCAUUGGGCGUAAAGGGUACGUAGGCGGAUAAGCAAGUUAGAAGUGAAAUCCUAUAGCUCAACUAUAGUAAGCUUUUAAAACUGCUCAUCUUGAGGGAUGGAAGGGAAAGGGGAAUUCCUAGUGUAGCGGUGAAAUGCGCAGAUAUUAGGGGGAAUACCGGUGGCGAAGGCGACUUUCUGGCCAUAAACUGACGCUGAGGUACGAAAGCGUGGGUAGCAAACGGG
rnacentral:rRNA from 1 species